rnacentral:rRNA from 1 species
UGUGGUCUGCAACCCGACCACACGAAGCUGGAAUCGCUAGUAAUCGUGAAUCAGAAUGUCACGGUGAAUACGUUCCCGGGUCUUGUACACACCGCCCGUCACACCAUGGGAGUCAGCAACGCCCGAAGUCAGUGACCUAACCGAAAGGGAGGAGCUGCCGAAGGCGGGGCCGGUAACUGGGGUGAAGUCGUAACAAGGUAGC